rnacentral:lncRNA from 1 species
ACCAUAAGAGCUUGAAGUAUAUAUUCAUUUAGAAGGAUCUCAACAUGCAUAAGAGUCGUUAGAUAAAGCUCCUUAAGGACUACAAUUGUAAGAUUUUGUAUCACACGGACAAGGGUAAUGUGAUAGCCGACGCGCUCAGUAGAAAAAGUACAAUUAUGUUGGCUCACUUAAUGGUUUCUAAAUGUAUGGUAAUAUGGGCUGCACAAUAGAUAAGACUUCAAGUCUUGAAGAGGGCUACAUGCUUAGCCCACAUAACUGCUCAACUUG